AGUGAACGCUGGCGGUAGGCCUAACACAUGCAAGUCGAACGGCAGCACAGUAAGAGCUUGCUCUUACGGGUGGCGAGUGGCGGACGGGUGAGGAAUACAUCGGAAUCUACUUUUUCGUGGGGGAUAACGUAGGGAAACUUACGCUAAUACCGCAUACGACCUACGGGUGAAAGCAGGGGAUCUUCGGACCUUGCGCGAUUGAAUGAGCCGAUGUCGGAUUAGCUAGUUGGCGGGGUAAAGGCCCACCAAGGCGACGAUCCGUAGCUGGUCUGAGAGGAUGAUCAGCCACACUGGAACUGAGACACGGUCCAGACUCCUACGGGAGGCAGCAGUGGGGAAUAUUGGGCAAUGGGCGCAAGCCUGGUCCAGCCAUACCGCGUGGGUGAAGAAGGCCUUCGGGUUGUAAAGCCCUUUUGUUGGGAAAGAAAAGCAGCAGGUUAAUACCCCGCUGUUCUGACGGUACCCAAAGAAUAAGCACCGGCUAACUUCGUG
rnacentral:rRNA from 1 species